UACGUAGGGUGCAAGCGUUGUCCGGAAUUACUGGGCGUAAAGAGCUCGUAGGCGGUCUGUCGCGUCGGAUGUGAAAACCCAGGGCUCAACCCUGGGCCUGCAUUCGAUACGGGCAGACUAGAGUAUGGCAGGGGAGACUGGAAUUCCUGGUGUAGCGGUGAAAUGCGCAGAUAUCAGGAGGAACACCGGUGGCGAAGGCGGGUCUCUGGGCCAAAACUGACGCUGAGGAGCGAAAGCGUGGGGAGCGAACAGG
rnacentral:rRNA from 1 species